rnacentral:rRNA from 1 species
UACGUAGGUGGCGAGCGUUGUCCGGAUUUAUUGGGCGUAAAGCGCGUGCAGGUGGUUGGUUAAGGCCGAUGUGAAAUCUCCCGGCUCACCUGGGAGGGUGCGUUGGCGACUGGCCGACUGGAGGCAGGUAGAGGCCGGUGGAAUUCCCGGUGUAGUGGUGAAAUGCGUAGAUAUCAGGAGGAACACCGGUGGCGAAGGCGGGUCUCUGGGCAGUAACUGACGCUGAGGAGCGAAAGCGUGGGGAGCGAACAGG